AACGCACAUUGCGCCCCUUGGUAUCCCGAGGGGCAUGCCCGUUCGAGCGUCAUUAUAACCCCUCAAGCCUAGCUUGGUGUUGGGGCCUGCUGUUACCGGCAGCCCUUAAAAUCAGUGGCGGUGCCAUCUGGCUCUAAGCGUAGUAAUACUUCUCGCUACAGGGUCCCGGUGGAUGCUUGCCAUCAACCCCUAAUUUUCUAUGGUUGACCUCGGAUCGGGUAGGGAUACCCGCUGAACUUAA
rnacentral:misc_RNA from 1 species